UGGAAGUGAUGUAAAGUUGACCACCUGAUGUUUUCUGGAGGGAAAGACUGAUUUAAUGAGGCUGAUCC